rnacentral:rRNA from 1 species
AUACGGAGGGUGCGAGCGUUGUUCGGAAUUAUUGGGCGUAAAGCGCGUGUAGGCGGUUUGUUAAGUCUGAUGUGAAAGCCCCGGGCUCAACCUGGGAAGUGCAUUGGAUACUGGCAGACUUGAAUACGGGAGAGGGCAGUGGAAUUCCUGGUGUAGGAGUGAAAUCCGUAGAUAUCAGGAGGAACACCGGUGGCGAAGGCGUCUUUCUGGUCUGCAUCUGACACUGAGGAGCGAAAGCCAGGGGAGC